GGUCGCGUAGCUCAGUUGGUAGAGCAACUGACUUUUAAUCAGUGGGUCGAAGGUUCGAAUCCUUCCGCGAUCA
rnacentral:tRNA from 1 species